CGUCCCAUUUCUACCCCUUACCCCUCCCCCUUGGUUUGAAGGGGUAAGGGUGUCCCAAUUCUCAUUUGGGUUAAGGGGUAGGGCGAAGACAAAAGGCUACGUAGCCCUUGAAACGAAGCUAUCCAAGGACCACACUUUAAAGGGAGGGCUUCGAGGAAAAUCCGGCCGAAAAUGCAUUUUUACUAGUUGUUAUCGUUCGGACUCAUGCUGUAAAGUUGACUGUAUGUUCGGCUCGAAGUCAUACACGGACAAUGCGAUCUCUGAGCUCAAUAUAAAACAUGACAUAACGGUAAAUAACCGUUGAACUAUACAUACAAGAUUUUGGCGCUCUCUAGUGGCCAACCGAAAUCGCCAAAUAAACAAACAGCAGCGAUGGCUCAAGCGAAGGACACGCACAAAUGGACACCACAGGAGACCAGACGGCUCAUUAAUUUCAGGGCGACCAGGGACAAUGAGUUCCUAAAAUCGAAAAUGAUCGCCAGAAAACAGUGGGAGCUUUUUCUGGAAGAAAUGGGGGUGGAGGGGAAAGUGACCAGGCAACAGGCUUCUAAGAGGUGGGAGAACCUUAAAAAGAAGUACAAGGCCCGCUCUAUCACAGAACG